rnacentral:snoRNA from 1 species
AUGUUCAAUGAUGGGACCAUCUUUCGGGUCUGAUGAAAUGAAGAUAAGAUAUUACUGAGAACGU